CAGCGAAACAACAAGCCAUCAUAUAACAUGUUACAUGUUAAAGAAAGGAUAAACAUAAUUUCUGGAACCUAUAUCAACGAAAACAACAACUUUGGAUGUCCUAAGUGAUACUUCAAAUUUGUAACAUAUGUUUCAGGAGUGCUUACACAGGAUAUUUUGUCGCGUUUAAAUUUGUUCUAUCUAAUUUUUUUUGGAGUAAUCUAUCUAUUCAGCUUGUGUGAUUUGGAUCUUUAUAUUGGACAAGGGAUAGCAAUUUUAAAAGCAGAGAAGCCGAUAUUACAAGGGCUUCCUAGGUCUGACAGAGACUAUAGUGUGUAAGGUGUGCUGUGACAAGGAUGUGGCCGCCGCCUUCCUGCCCUGUGGUCACCUGGUCUGCUGUCUGGACUCGUGCCCCCGCAUGAGGAGGUGCCCCUCUGUACAGAACUCAUCAAGGGCACAGUCAAAACCUACUUUGCAUAAAUGGGUCUACAGAUCUAUAGAAAACACAAGGGUGAAAAUUCAUUUUAGGAAUGUGGAUAUAUUACUUUUUGGGGAAAUUAUGAUUUUCAUCAGAGGUCACAGGAAGGGCAGAAAG